AUGCUUGCUUCAGCAGCACAGACACUACAACUGGAAGAAUACAGCCAAGAUUAGCAGGGACUCUGCACAAGAAUGACACACAUGUGUGAAGUAGCCCAUGUUA
rnacentral:snRNA from 1 species